rnacentral:rRNA from 1 species
CACGUAGGCACCAAGCGUUGUCCGAAUUUAUUGGGCGUAAAGGGCUCGUAGGCGGUUCGGUAAGUCGGGUGUGAAAACUCUGGGCUCAACCCAGAGCCGCCACCCGAUACUGCUGUGACUCGAGUGCGGUAGGGGAGCGGGGAAUUCCUGGUGUAGCGGUGAAAUGCGCAGAUAUCAGGAGGAACACCGAGUGCGAAGGC